GCAUAUCAAAGAACCCCAAUUAUUCAAUUUUUGAUGAAAUCAAACAAAGUUUAAUUUUGGACCCCGAUUUAGACCAACUUGAAAACUGGGCCAAUAAUAAACAAGAGUGCACACACUGAAAUGUCUCGCCUUCUUUACUAAUCAUUGAAAUUAUGUUGAUAGUCCUAAGUAUAAAGCUUUAUUACAACUGUCACAUAAACUUAACAUUAACCAAGAUAGCUAAACAAAGACCAAUGAACCAUGAAAAUAAGGUCAAGGUCAGAUAAACCAUGCCAGGCAGACAUGUACAGCUAACAAAGCUUCCAUACAACAAAUAUAGUUGACCUAUUACUUAUAGUUUUAGUAAGAAAAAUAGACCAAAACACAAAAACUUAACAUUGUGCAAUGAACCGUGCAAUUGAGGUCAUGGUCAAAUAAACCUGCGGGACUGACAUAUAGAUCAUAAUAUAUUUCCAUACACCAAAUAUAGUUGACCUUUGGCAUAUAAUAUUAGAUAAAAAGACCAAAACUUAAAACUUAACUUUGACCACUGAACCAUGAAAAUGGGGUCAAGUUCAGAUGACAACUGCCCGCUAGACAUGUACACCUUACAAUCAUUCCAUACAACAAAUAUAGUAGACCUAUUGCAUAAAGUAUGAGAAAAACCGACCAAAACACAAAAACUUAACUAUAACCACUGAACCAUGAAAAUGAGGUCAAGGUCAGAUGACACCUGCCAGUUGGACAUGUACACCUUCCAGUCCUUCCAUACACCAAAUAUACUAGCCUUAUUGCUUAUAGUAUCUGAGAUAUGGACUUGACCACCAAAACUUAACCUUGUUCACUGAUCCAUGAAAUGAGGUCGAGGUCAAGUGAAAACUGUCUGACGGGCAUGAGGACCUUGCAAGGUACGCACAUACCAAAUAUAGUUACCCUAUUACUUAUAAUAAGAGAGAAUUCAACAUUACAAAAAUUCUGAACUUUUUUUUCAAGUGGUCACUGAACCAUGAAAAUGAGGUCAAGGACAUUGGACAUGUGACUGACGGAAACUUCGUAUCAUGAGGCAUCUAUAUACAAAGUAUGAAGCAUCCAGGUCUUUCACCUUCUAAAUUAUAAACCUUUUAAGAAGUUAGCUAACGCCGCCGCCGUAGCCGCCGCCGUAGCCGCCGCCGUUGCCGCCGCCGGAUCACUAUCCCUAUGUCGAGCUUUCUGCAACAAAAGUUGCAGGCUCGACAAAAAUCUAAGUACAUUUUUAGAUUCAGCAUAUCAAAGAACCCCAAGUAUUCAAUUUUUGUUAUAAUCAAACUAAGUUUAAUUUUGGACCCUUUGGACCUUAAUGUAGACCAAUUUGAAAACGGGACCAAAAAUUAAGAAUCUACAUACACAGUUAGAUUCGGCAUAUCAAAGAACCCCAAUUAUUCAAUUUUUGAUGAAAUCAAACAAAGUUCAAUUUUGGACCCUUUGGGCCCUUAUUCCUAAACUGUUGGGACCAAAACUCCCAAAAUCAAUCCCAACCUUCUUUUUGUGGUCAUAAACCUUGUGUUUAAAUUUCAUUGAUUUCUACUUACUUAUACUAAAGUUAUUGUGCGAAAACCAAGAAUAAUGCUUAUUUGGGCCCUUUUUUGGCCCCUAAUUCCUAAACUGUUGGAACCAAAACUCCCAAAAUCAAUCCCAACCUUCCUUUUGUGGUCAUAAACCUUG
rnacentral:lncRNA from 1 species